rnacentral:rRNA from 1 species
AUUGAACGCUGGCGGCAGGCUUAACACAUGCAAGUCGAGCGGGGUGAUGGUGCUUGCACUAUCACUUAGCGGCGGACGGGUGAGUAAUGCUUAGGAAUCUGCCUAUUAGUGGGGGACAACAUCUCGAAAGGGAUGCUAAUACCGCAUACGUCCUACGGGAGAAAGCAGGGGAUCAUUUGUGACCUUGCGCUAAUAGAUGAGCCUAAGUCGGAUUAGCUAGUUGGUGGGGUAAAGGCCUACCAAGGCGACGAUCUGUAGCGGGUCUGAGAGGAUGAUCCGCCACACUGGGACUGAGACACGGCCCAGACUCCUACGGGAGGCAGCAGUGGGGAAUAUUGGACAAUGGGGGGAACCCUGAUCCAGCCAUGCCGCGUGUGUGAAGAAGGCCUUAUGGUUGUAAAGCACUUUAAGCGAGGAGGAGGCUCUUUUGGUUAAUACCCAAGAUGAGUGGACGUUACUCGCAGAAUAAGCACCGGCUAACUCUGUGCCAGCAGCCGCAGUAA